AUGACGCUACGGCAUGCUUACACCUGCAGUCUGAACGGCAGCGGGGGAGCUUGCUCCCGCCGGCGAGUGGCGAACGGGUGAGUAAUACAUCGGAACGUACCCAGUAGCGGGGGAUAGCCCGGCGAAAGCCGGAUUAAUACCGCAUACGCCCUACGGGGGAAAGGGGGGGAUCGCAAGACCUCUCACUAUUGGAGCGGCCGAUGGCUGAUUAGCUAGUUGGUGGGGUAAAGGCCUACCAAGGCGACGAUCAGUAGCUGGUCUGAGAGGACGACCAGCCACACUGGGACUGAGACACGGCCCAGACUCCUACGGGAGGCAGCAGUGGGGAAUUUUGGACAAUGGGCGAAAGCCUGAUCCAGCAAUGCCGCGUGUGCGAAGAAGGCCUUCGGGUUGUAAAGCACUUUUGUCAGGGAAGAAAUCGUUUGGGUUAAUACCCCGAGCAGUUGACGGUACCUGAAGAAUAAGCACCGGCUAACUACGUGCCAGCAGCCGCGGUAAUACGUAGGGUGCAAGCGUUAAUCGGAAUUACUGGGCGUAAAGCGUGCGCAGGUGGUUUGUUAAGACAGUUGUGAAAUCCCCGGGCUUAACCUGGGAACUGCAAUUGUGACUGGCAGACUAGAGUGAGGCAGCAGGGGGGCGGAAUUCCUGGUGUAGCAGUGAAAUGCGUAGAUAUCAGGAGGAACACCGAUGGCGAAGGCAGCCCCCUGGGCCAUCACUGACACUCAUGCACGAAA
rnacentral:rRNA from 1 species